rnacentral:rRNA from 1 species
UACGAAGGGCGCUAGCGUUGUUCGGAAUUACUGGGCGUAAAGCGCAUGCAGGCGGAUCGUUAAGUCGGGGGUGAAAUCCCAGGGCUCAACCCUGGAACUGCCUUCGAUACUGGCGACCUUGAGUCCGGGAGAGGUGAGUGGAACUCCGAGUGUAGAGGUGAAAUUCGUAGAUAUUCGGAAGAACACCAGUGGCGAAGGCGGCUCACUGGCCCGGUACUGACGCUGAGAUGCGAAAGCGUGGGGAGCAAACAGG